GCGCCGGCAAGGGGUUCAACAAUGGCCAGAGGCAGUGGCGGAUUGCUCUCAUAUCUUGCUCCCAAUUCCUCUGUUUAUAGGGAAAAAAGUAGUAUGCCUGACCACGGUGGAAUUUAGUACGUGCUCUCCCCUCAGUUUCAUCUUACUUAUGUUUUUCAAUUGCAGUGUGUUGCUUCACACCCUGAGACCAGGAUCCCGUUCUUGAAUGCUCACAUCCCACUGUACAUGUACCCGUUCCUGAAUACUACCAGCAAGACAAGACCUUUUGAGUACUUGAGGCUUACCAGCUUGGGUGUUAUUGGAAACUGCUGGAUGUUGAGUGUGAAGCGACCAAAGAGACCAAAUUGUCUGAAGCGACAGGGGCCUAAGUGGAGGAGUAGAUCAGCUGAAGUCCAUAACCAGUAAGAGAAUGUGAGAUUAGGAUCA